rnacentral:rRNA from 1 species
GAUGAACGCUGGCGGCGUGCUUAACACAUGCAAGUCGAACGGGAAACCUUUUAUUGAAGCUUCGGCAGAUUUAGAUUGUUUCUAGUGGCGGACGGGUGAGUAACGCGUGGGUAACCUGCCUUAUACAGGGGGAUAACAGUCAGAAAUGACUGCUAAUACCGCAUAAGCGCACAGCAUCGCAUGAUGCAGUGUGAAAAACUCCGGUGGUAUAAGAUGGACCCGCGUUGGAUUAGCUAGUUGGUGAGGUAACGGCCCACCAAGGCGACGAUCCAUAGCCGACCUGAGAGGGUGACCGGCCACAUUGGGACUGAGACACGGCCCAAACUCCUACGGGAGGCAGCAGUGGGGAAUAUUGCACAAUGGGCGAAAGCCUGAUGCAGCGACGCCGCGUGAGCGAAGAAGUAUUUCGGUAUGUAAAGCUCUAUCAGCAGGGAAGAUAAUGACGGUACCUGACUAAGAAGCACCGG